GCCAAAUGAAAAUAUUUGGUAUUCCUAUCGUCCUCCACAGCCCAUUUGGUACGAGCCUUUUGGAUCCAGAAAACCUCAUCUUGCCAAAGAACCAACUCAAGUCGUUGUCUAAUGUUUUGUUCCGUCGAGAUAUUGGAGCUGGAAGCCAAAUUAGCCACAACUCUUUCAGCAGCUUUCAAAUCCUUAACAAGACGGGCCUUCCUACGAAAGAUAUUGCCAAAGACCUUUUUGUUCCAAUCCUGCAAGAUCGAAGUGAGAUUAGACAUAGCUGUUGGGAAGUCGCAUCCCUUUAACCAUUUCUAAGAUACUACAUAAUUGAAACUAGGAUGCGAGAACCAAACAGAUAAGAAACGAAAAGGUUUAGCAUUGGAAUGAAACACCUGAUUAGAAGGGCAUAGCAGAACUGGUCUAUGAUUCGAUUUGAGCUUGUGAAGAUGUAUGAUAAAAGACUUCAGGAAAGUCUGAAGCCAAGCUGCAUUAACAAGAGCCCGAUCCAAGCGCAUGAGGAUGUGACUGCGAGACCAAGUGAAUUUUGGAC
rnacentral:lncRNA from 1 species